UCGAGAAUUUUUCACAAUGGGCGCAAGCCUGAUGGAGCGACACCGCGUGGGGGAUGAAUGGCUUCGGCCCGUAAACCCCUGUCAUUUGCGAUCAAACGUUAUUAUUUAAAAGAUGAUGACCUGAUAGUAGCGAAAGAGGAAGGGACGGCUAACUCUGUGCCAGCAGCCGCGGUAAUACAGAGGUCCCAAGCGUUGUUCGGAUUCACUGGGCGUAAAGGGUGCGUAGGUGGCGGAGUAAGUCGGAUGUGAAAUCUCCGAGCUCAACUCGGAAACUGCAUUGGAAACUACUCUGCUUGAGGGUUGGAGGGGGGACUGGAAUGCUUGGUGUAGCAGUGAAAUGCGUAGAUAUCAAGCGGAACACCAGUGGCGAAGGCGAGUCCCUGGACAACUCCUGACACUGAGGCACGAAAGCUAGGGGAGCAAACAGG
rnacentral:rRNA from 1 species